CCCUUAGAUGUUCUGGGCCGCACGCGUGCUACACUGAGUAAAUCAAUGGGUAAGGGAACACGAAAGUGCAACCUAAUCUUGAAAUUUGCUCGUGAUGGGGAUCGACGGUUGCAAUUUUCCGUCGUGAACGAGGAAUACCUUGUAGGCGCGUGUCAUCAUCACGCGCCGAAUACGUCCCUGCCCUUUGUACACACCACCCGUCGCUCCUACCGAUUGAGUGAUCCGGUGAGGCUCUGGGACCUGGACGGAAAGAGCGUUUCGCUUGUUCUGUUUGGGAAACUUGGUCGAACCUUAUCAUUUAGAGGAAGGAGAAGUCGUAACA
rnacentral:rRNA from 1 species